rnacentral:rRNA from 1 species
GCUGUUGCUAUCGGGAUCCGAUUCAGUCAUGCUAGUCGCACGGGCUCAGACCCGUGGCGAAUAGCUCCGUAACACGUGGUCAAACUACCCUCUGGACUGGGAUACCCUCGGGAAACUGAGGCUAAUCCCGGAUACAGCUUUCAUGUUGGAACACGGAAAGCCGGAAACGGUCCGCCGCCGGAGGACGUGACUGCGGCCGAUUAGGUAGACGGUGGGGUAACGGCCCACCGUGCCGAUAAUCGGUACGGGUUGUGAGAGCAAGAACCCGGAGACGGACUCUGAGACAAGAGUCCGGGCCCUACGGGGCGCAGCAGACGCGAAACCUUUACACUGCACGACAGUGCGAUAAGGGGAUCCCGAGUGCGAGGGCAUACAGUCCUCGCUUUUCGUGACCGUAAGGUGGUCUCAGAAUAAGGGCUGGGCAAGACCGGUGCCAGCCGCCGCGGUAAUACCGGCAGCCCGAGUGAUAGCCACUCUUAUUGGGCCUAAAGCGUCCGUAGCUGGCCGAACGGGUCCGUCGGGAAAUCCACCCGCUCAACGGGUGGGCGUCCGGCGGAAACCAGUCGGCUUGGGACCGGAGGACCUGCGGGGUACGUCUGGGGUAGGAGUGAAAUCCUGUAAUCCCAGACGGACCACCGGUGGCGAAAGCGCCGCAGGAGGACGGAUCCGACAGUGAGGGACGAAAGCUUGGGUCUCGAACCGGAUUAGAUACCCGGGUAGUCCAAGCCGUAAACGAUGCUCCU